rnacentral:rRNA from 1 species
GUGGGUAGUUUGACUGGGGCGGUCUCCUCCUAAAGAGUAACGGAGGAGCACGAAGGUUGGCUAAUCCUGGUCGGACAUCAGGAGGUUAGUGCAAUGGCAUAAGCCAGCUUGACUGCGAGCGUGACGGCGCGAGCAGGUGCGAAAGCAGGUCAUAGUGAUCCGGUGGUUCUGAAUGGAAGGGCCAUCGCUCAACGGAUAAAAGGUACUCCGGGGAUAACAGGCUGAUACCGCCCAAGAGUUCAUAUCGACGGCGGUGUUUGGCACCUCGAUGUCGGCUCAUCACAUCCUGGGGCUGAAGUAGGUCCCAAGGGUAUGGCUGUUCGCCAUUUAAAGUGGUACGCGAGCUGGGUUUAGAACGUCGUGAGACAGUUCGGUCCCUAUCUGCCGUGGGCGCUGGAGAACUGAGGGGGGCUGCUCCUAGUACGAGAGGACCGGAGUGGACGCAUCACUGGUGUUCGGGUUGUCAUGCCAAUGGCACUGCCCGGUAGCUAAAUGCGGAAGAGAUAAGUGCUGAAAGCAUCUAAGCACGAAACUUGCCCCGAGAUGAGUUCUCCCUGAGACUUUAGGUCUCCUGAAGGAACGUUGAAGACGACGACGU